rnacentral:piRNA from 1 species
UCUUCUAAGUGAUUGACAAGGUGAAGCAAGU